rnacentral:rRNA from 1 species
GACGAACGCUGGCGGCGUGCUUAACACAUGCAAGUCGAGCGGUAGUACUCCUUCGGGGGUAUGAGAGCGGCGAACGGGUGAGUAACACGUGAGCAAUCUGCCCUUCACUCUGGGAUAGCCCCCGGACACGGUGAUUAAUACCGGAUAUGAAAGCUCCUGGCAUCUGGGGUUGGGGAAAGCUUUUGCGGUGGCUGAUGGCUCGCGGCUUAUCAGCUUGUUGGUGAGGUAAUGGCUCACCAAGGCUUCGACGGGUAGCCGGCCUGAGAGGGUGAGCGGCCACACUGGGACUGAGACACGGCCCAGACUCCUACGGGAGGCAGCAGUGGGGAAUAUUGGACAAUGGGCGAAAGCCUGAUCCAGCAACGCCGCGUGAGGGAUGACGGCCUUCGGGUUGUAAACCUCUUUCAGCAGGGACGAAGCGCAAGUGACGGUACCUGCAGAAGAAGCACCGGCCAACUACGUGCCAGCAGCCGCGGUAACAC